rnacentral:rRNA from 1 species
UACGUAGGGGGCAAGCGUUGUCCGGAAUUAUUGGGCGUAAAGAGCGUGUAGGCGGUCCGGUAAGUCAGCUGUGAAAGUCAAGGGCUCAACCCUUGAAAGCCGGUUGAUACUGUCGGGCUAGAGUCCGGAAGAGGCGAGUGGAAUUCCCGGUGUAGCGGUGAAAUGCGCAGAUAUCAGGAGGAACACCGGUGGCGAAGGCGGGUCUCUGGGCCGAUACUGACGCUGAGGAGCGAAAGCGUGGGGAGCGAACAGG